rnacentral:rRNA from 1 species
CCUACGGGUGGCAGCAGUGGGGAAUAUUGGACAAUGGGCGAAAGCCUGAUCCAGCCAUGCCGCGUGUGUGAAGAAGGCCUUCGGGUUGUAAAGCACUUUCAGUGGGGAAGAAAGCCUUGGGGCUAAUACCCUCGAGGAAGGACAUCACCCACAGAAGAAGCACCGGCUAACUCCGUGCCAGCAGCCGCGGUAAUACGGAGGGUGCGAGCGUUAAUCGGAAUUACUGGGCGUAAAGCGCGCGUAGGCGGUCUGAUAAGCCGGUUGUGAAAGCCCCGGGCUCAACCUGGGAACGGCAUCCGGAACUGUCAGGCUAGAGUGCAGGAGAGGAAGGUAGAAUUCCCGGUGUAGCAGUGAAAUGCGUAGAGAUCGGGAGGAAUACCAGUGGCGAAGGCGGCCUUCUGGACUGACACUGACGCUGAGGUGCGAAAGCGUGGGUAGCAAACAGGAUUAGAUACCCGGGUAGUC